rnacentral:misc_RNA from 1 species
GAUGAAGAACGUAGCGAAAUGCGAUACGUAAUGUGAAUUGCAGAAUUCAGUGAAUCAUCGAGUCUUUGAACGCACAUUGCGCCCCCUGGUAUUCCGGGGGGCAUGCCUGUCCGAGCGUCAUUACAACCCUCAAGCUCAGCUUGGUGUUGGGCCCCGCCGCCCCGGCGGGCCCUAAAGUCAGUGGCGGUGCCGUCCGGCUCCGAGCGUAGUAAUUCUUCUCGCUCUGGAGGUCCGGUCGUGUGCUCGCCAGCAACCCCCAAUUUUUUUCAGGUUGACCUCGGAUCAGGUAGGGAUACCCGCUGAACUUAAGCAUAUCAUAAGCGGAGGA